AACGAACGCUGGCGGCAGGCUUAACACAUGCAGUCGAACGCCCCGCAAGGGGAGUGGCAGACGGGUGAGUAACACGUGGGGAUCUGCCCAAUGGUACGGAAUAGCUCCGGGAAACUGGAAUUAAUACCGUAUGUGCCCUUCGGGGGAAAGAUUUAUCGCCAUUGGAUGAACCCGCGCCGGAUUAGCUAGUUGGUGAGGUAAAGGCCCACCAAGGCGACGAUCCGUAGCUGGUUUGAGAGGAUGAUCAGCCACACUGGGACUGAGACACGGCCCAGACUCCUACGGGAGGCAGCAGUGGGGAAUCUUAGACAAUGGGCGCAAGCCUGAUCUAGCCAUGCCGCGUGAGCGAUGAAGGCCUUAGGGUUGUAAAGCUCUUUCAGUGGGGAAGAUAAUGACGGUACCCACAGAAGAAGCCCCGGCUAACUCCGUGCCAGCAGCCGCUGUAA
rnacentral:rRNA from 1 species